ACGACUCACCAAACGGUCCUUCUCGAGCAUAAAAACGCCCGCAGUUUUAUCAACGGAGCCAGAAGCAAGUCUCUCGCCGUCACAGCUCCACGCCACCGAGUGGACUCUGGCUGUGUGAGCAGACAUUUCCCGUACUUUAGUACUUCGGAGGCUCUCUGUCGGACCCUGGCUGGACGGCGACGCCAUGUUGGAUUGUUUAAUUGAAAAGGCGUCACCUGCUGUCAGAAACGACGACGCUUCCUUGAAUACAAAUGGAGGCAUAGGCCAGCAGAGGCCUCUUGGGGUGCCAGGCCACCGUGAAGGUCGCCACGGAGACGUAAAGCACUGAUGCGUCUCACCUGUUUCUACUUCUGCGAUGUCUAUGAAGUGGUCCUCCGACGCCGACGCCAACAUCUUCCCAUCAUGGCUGAAGCUCAGUGUCCUCACAGGCCAGUCCAGUCUGAAAAGAGAUCUCGUUCACCUCGAACUUGAACUGCUCCUCCGCUCUGGACCGAUGCGUCUUGGCGUCGAUGAAGGUCACCACGUCGUCUUUGUUGCCCACGGCGAUGGUCUGGCCGUCGGGGCUCCAGCAGAUGUUGAUGUUCUCACCUGGAGGUAGACAGACCUCUGGAUUAAACUUCUUUAAAAAGCCAUUUAAACUGUGUAACACGGUUGAAAACAUUGACUUGUUACACGUUCAACGUUACGUCACCUUUUGUGUUAACCGUUGCGAUACAUUUGGUCGUGCGGACGUCCCAUAUUCGGAUGGUCUUGUCGCCAGAUGCUGUGACGAAGAGAUCUGGGUUGGUGGGGUGCCAGCACAGCUGAUCCACACUGUCACUGUGACCCCUGUAGUUGUUUUCUUUCACCUGGAAGAAGACAUACCUUUCAAUACUCUAGACAAAACUAGAACUCAACACAUGUUCUCAACCUUGUUGCAUUAAUAUAAAUAUCACUUGUUUAUUAGGGUUCAUAUGGUUUGUCAUUCCUACAAACGUCGGACUGCCAUCACUCCCAAAAGUGAAAUAAAAACAACCUAAAAUGUAAUGUAUCUGUGCCUAU